UACAGAGGUGGCAAGCGUUGUUCGGAAUUACUGGGCGUAAAGGGCGCGUAGGCGGCCUUCUAAGUCAGACGUGAAAUCCCCCGGCUCAACCUGGGAACUGCGUCUGAUACUGGGAGGCUCGAGUGCGGGAGAGGGAUGUGGAAUUCCAGGUGUAGCGGUGAAAUGCGUAGAUAUCUGGAGGAACACCGGUGGCGAAGGCGGCAUCCUGGACCGACACUGACGCUGAGGCGCGAAAGCUAGGGUAGCAAACGGG
rnacentral:rRNA from 1 species